UACGGAGGGUGCAAGCAUUGAUCGGAAUUACUGGGCGUAAAGGGCGCGUAGGCGGCUGGAUAAGUCGGAUGUGAAAUUCCGGGGCUCAACCCCGGAGCUGCAUUUGAAACUGUCUAGCUAGAGUGUAGUUAGGGUAAACGGAAUUCCACGUGUAGCGGUGAAAUGCGUAGAUAUGUGGAAGAACACCGGUGGUGAAGACGGUUUACUGGGCUAUAACUGACGCUGAGGCGCGAAAGCAUGGGGAGCAAACAGG
rnacentral:rRNA from 1 species